GAAUUUUGGACAAUGGGGGCAACCCUGAUCCAGCAAUGCCGCGUGAGUGAAGAAGGCCUUCGGGUUGUAAAGCUCUUUCGGUGGGAACGAAAUGGGGCGGGUGAACAACGCGCCUCGAUGACGGUACUCACAGAAGAGGCACCGGCUAACUACGUGCCAGCCGCCGCGGUAAUACGUAGGGUGCGAGCGUUAAUCGGAAUUACUGGGCGUAAAGCGUGCGCAGGCGGCGCGCUAAGACAGGUGUGAAAUCCCCGGGCUUAACCUGGGAAUGGCGCUUGUGACUGGCGUGCUCGAGUGCGGCAGAGGGAGGUGGAAUUCCACGUGUAGCAGUGAAAUGCGUAGAGAUGUGGAGGAACACCGAUGGCGAAGGCAGCCUCCUGGGCCGACACUGACGCUGAGGCACGAAAGCGUGGGGAGCAAACAGG
rnacentral:rRNA from 1 species